UACGUAGGGUGCGAGCGUUGUCCGGAAUUACUGGGCGUAAAGAGCUCGUAGGUGGUUUGUCGCGUUGUUCGUGAAAACUCACAGCUUAACUGUGGGCGUGCGGGCGAUACGGGCAGACUGGAGUACUGCAGGGGAGACUGGAAUUCCUGGUGUAGCGGUGGAAUGCGCAGAUAUCAGGAGGACCACCGGUGGCGAAGGCGGGUCUCUGGGCAGUAACUGACGCUGAGGAGCGAAAGCGUGGGGAGAGAACAGG
rnacentral:rRNA from 1 species